CGGGGUGAGUAACGCGUGGGUAACCUGCCUUGUACUGGGGGACAACAGUUGGAAACGACUGCUAAUACCGCAUAAGCGCACAGCUUCGCAUGAAGCAGUGUGAAAAACUCCGGUGGUACAAGAUGGACCCGCGUCUGAUUAGCUGUUGGUGAGGUAACGGCCCACCAAGGCGACGAUCAGUAGCCGGCCUGAGAGGGUGAACGGCCACAUUGGGACUGAGACACGGCCCAA
rnacentral:rRNA from 1 species